GGGGUGACCUCUCCAGAAGUGUGUCAUGUGACCCCUCUAACAACUCCUCCCACUCCCUCUACCAAUCAGGAGGGGUUUCGCCCCUGUAGGACUGCCCCAAGAGGAGAUUUCACCAAUCAGGGUGAGUUCCGGGGCGGGGUGUCCUCUCCGGAAGUGGGUCUUGUGACCCCUCUAACAACU